CAUUUUUUUACUGUUUGGCCGUGUCGGGUGGUGGAGGGUUACGACACAUUUAUAAAUAACGCGAUCUAACCCCAAAAACCUUUAUUAUGAAUAAUAUUGGUCGCGAAAGCCUACGUAUUAAACUGACCAAGUCAUUCUGAUGUCUCACUUUCUAUCGGUACACAGGCCUGGGUCCCAUCAUACACGUUUUUUUGGCAGCUGACUUAUCUUACUUGGGAUUCCAUAGCAGCCUAGCAGUUCAAUCAAGCCUUCGCGCAACCCAGAGUCAUAGGCUUGCUUAAAAUACAAGAUCAUCUCCAUAAUCGGGCGUCUUAUCGUAAUGAUUUUAAAUCCACACCGAUUGUACACUCCAUCAUGCAAGCCCACACACAGACCGAGCUGCAGAUGGCGCUAGUGCACUGACGUCCUUAAAGGUCGGCUGCGGCAAACGUGACCCGCAGCUCAAAUAAACCCAGCCACCCAGAAUAACAGGAAUGCUAUAAUUCAUGCACGUGGUGAAGAUACCUAUGCUUUCCCCCUCGAUUUUGUUUAAUUUAAGUGGUAUAUGAGAACAACAGUAGUUAGCAGAGGUACAUUCACAUCAUUGCAAUUCUUGUUUGUGUUAUUUCUCUUUGAAGCCGGUUUUUUUUAGUUAUAUAGAUAACCGGAAUUCUUGUGCUGUAAAAAGGAAUUGAGCAGUGAGUAUGUAGUGAAAUAUAACCGUUAUUGCUUUUAUGCAGUUGUUACCGUUUGUGUCGUUAAUUGGUCUCAAUGUCCAUUCCGCUUGAUAAAGUCAGUCUGGUUUAGUCCUAACACUGUGACCCAACAUUUCGACUGAUGCAGUUAUGUAAGUGACACGCACGCCUUUAUCGUACCGUAUAGCAAUGCAUGAUCUGCAGAAUUGUUGUGUUUUGUGCCAAAUGUUUCAUCACCUAUUUGAAUGGCAUGCACUGUCAUUUGCAGUCGUGCAUACUUCCUUCUGCAUAGUCACGUCGGGAAAAUCCAAUUCUGCAUUCAGUAUUUGUGUAAAAUCACGGAUUGAAAGGUUUUUUUUAAAAACACAUUUCAAAUAUUCAUUUUAUUAAAAUCACAGUCAACUACGCAGAAGUUGUAUGGUCUAAACACUAAAGUGGCCAGCAACAGAGAGAACUGGAGAUGGUACGGCAGGUAGGAAUGAACAGUUAUGAAAAAAAUGUGAAUAGUUUUACCCUUUCUGGCAACAAAACAGGUGUUAAGAUGUUCAAACGCCAAAUAGAAACAUUUUGCAAUGAAUGAAGUAUGCAUUAACCGCACGUGUACUUGUAGUGAACAUGCACACGGACAUGCUCUGAUAACAUACGCAUUGUCUUUGAAACUGUCUCACCAGUGCCAGACCAGAGAACGCCAAAAAGCAAAGAGUACGCCGCACUAUCAGAGCAUUUUAGCUCGGGGUAAGCGUCUGCCUUUUCGCGUUCUCUUGUCUGAAACUGGUUAGACUGGGUCCUAAAGAAGACUGCCUCUGGUGUGGGCCAAUCAGUUUCAAAGACAAUGCGUAUAUGGGCAUAUAGCAUGUUUGUUUGCAUGUUCGCCACACGUACGUGUGGUUAAUGCAGACUUGAUUCCUUUGCAAAUGUGUGUGUUUUUUUGUGGUGUUUGAACAUCUUAACGCCUGUUUUAUUUCCAGGAAGGUUAAAAUAUAUUCUUGUUUUUUCAUACUCUCAAACUGGCUAAAAUGAAUUAACAAGCUUCUGGAAUUGUCACAUUGAUUUUUUGUUUAAAUAUAGAAUGAGUUCCAAAGUGGGGGCAAACACAAAAACACAUUGCAUAUGCCCCGCGGUGUAAUGAGGCAGCUGCGUGCAGUUUGAGAGGAGUCAGCCAAGAUCACAUUUUAGAAAACGGAUAGUAGCAGCAGAAGAGAGACCAGGCGAUCACAAUGUGCUUGAUCUCUGCGAUCGUUUUAACGAAGAAUUUCUAUUGAGAUUGGAAUGCUAUAAUGCUUAUGGUGGAGAUUUACCUCGCUUUAUGCGGGUUCGGUUUGUGCAAUUUAGCAUAUACGCGGCGAACCUCUUUCUACCGAAACUUCGCUGGAUUACGCGGGUUGAAUGCACUCAUAUGCAGCUGUACGGUCGGAAGUGGGACGACAUUGUGUGGAUAAAUGUUUGCAUAUUCGGAGUGUGUGACUUUUGAAAAUGCACUAUUUUUAACAAAUUUAACUACUGUGUGGAUGUAUUUCCAAUUUUUUGUCGCAUGUGCGGUACGGGUACCGUAAUUUUAUGCUGAUCCUGGACAAAAGCAAUGAUCUCUAAAUAAAGUGUUUUGCGGA